rnacentral:rRNA from 1 species
UGGGGAAUAUUGGACAAUGGGCGAAAGCCUGAUCCAGCCAUGCCGCGUGUGUGAAGAAGGUCUUCGGAUUGUAAAGCACUUUAAGUUGGGAGGAAGGGCAGUAAGCGAAUACCUUGCUGUUUUGACGUUACCGACAGAACAAGCACCGGCUAACUCUGUGCCAGCAGCCGCGGUAAUACAGAGGGUGCAAGCGUUAAUCGGAAUUACUGGGCGUAAAGCGCGCGUAGGUGGUUCGUUAAGUUGAAUGUGAAAGCCCCGGGCUCAACCUGGGAACUGCAUCCAAAACUGGCGGGCUAGAGUAGGGCAGAGGGUGGUGGAAUUUCCUGUGUAGCGGUGAAAUGCGUAGAUAUAGGAAGGAACACCAGUGGCGAAGGCGACCACCUGGGCUCAUACUGACACUGAGGUGCGAAAGCGUGGGGAGCAAACAGG